GGAGCCGUAGCGAAAGCGAGUUUUAACUGAGCGUUCAGUUACUUGACGUAGACCCGAAACCGGGCGACCUACCCAUGAGCAGGCUGAAGCGAAAGUAAAAUUUCGUGGAGGUCCGAACCCACGAGCGUUGAAAAGCUCGGGGAUGACUUGUGGGUAGCGGUGAAAUUCCAAUCGAGCCCGGAGAUAGCUGGUUCUCCCCGAAAUAGCUUUAGGGCUAGCCUCAAGGUGAGAGAUACGGAGGUAGAGCACUGAAUGUCCUAGGGGGUAUUGCACCUACCGAAGACUAUCAAACUCCGAAUGCCGUCAUCUUAUACUUGGGAGUCAGACUGUGGGUGAUAAGAUUCAUAGUCGAAAGGGCAACAGCCCAGAUCGUCAGCUAAGGUCCCUAAAUGUAAGUUAAGUGGUAAAGGAUGUGGGAUUGCACAGACAACCAGGAUGUUGGCUUAGAAGCAGCCACUCAUUCAAAGAGUGCGUAAUAGCUCACUGGUCGAGUGAUCCUGCGCCGAAGAUUUCCGGGGCUAAAACUUACUACCGAAGCUACGGCAUCAGUAAUGAUGGGUAGGGGAGCUUCCCAUACGGGUUGAAGCAUGACCGUAAGGACAUGUGGACAGUAUGGGAGUGAGAAUGUUGGCAUGAGUAGCGAGAUGUGGGUGAGAA
rnacentral:rRNA from 1 species